rfam:Trichobilharzia regenti genome assembly, scaffold: TRE_scaffold0021394
AGCCUCCUGUAUCCGUGCUGAGAUUUCAUCAGAGAUCAACCCAUUGGGGCUGGUGGUACUUCCCAAAUAAGUGAAGCG